rnacentral:tRNA from 1 species
GCCCCAUAUGGCCGCGUAAGCCCCCUCCUAAGGGGAAGGUCGCCCGUUCGAAUCGGGCCGGGGUCACCA